rnacentral:lncRNA from 1 species
CUGUGUUACCAUAUUAAGUUGAUUUCAGAUAUUCUAGUCAUAUGGUCGAAUGAUAAGGUUUGGCGAGUAACUAUGACAUGAGUUCGAUUGGGAGGUUGUAUGUUGGAAGGAAUUAAUCACAUGGUAACUGUAAGCGUAAAGGUUCAUUCUUCAUCACCAUUCUAGAUUGCCGUGAUAUACUGCUAAGUGUCACUCACAGACAGUGAGAGAAUAUGAAUGAUUCGAAAUGAAUUGUUCUUAUUUAUCGAUUAGAAGAGUUCUAAUUAAAUAUCAAAGAGUUUGAUGUUGAGCUCCACUGCCAAAUGGUAAUGAACCUAUGCGGUCACACACAUUAGGAAUUGUGUGCACCUGAAUCGUUUGGAUGAAAGUCGUUCACUAAAGAGUUUAGUGUAAGCGAUNGUAAUUUUUAUGAAAAAAAAAGGGAUAAUUGCAUAUGGCUUCCGACAAAGUUAUUUAUCACGUAGCAAAUAUAUCCCUACAAAACUUAUAUUAUCAAAUUCAUUCUCAAAAAGUUUUCCUGUAUAUAAAUAUAUACGUCUGCUACCAAAAUUUAAAUAAUCAUGAGUAAAAAAAACUAACCACGGUUAGCUAAAGAGUAAAAUGACCUUUUAAUCCUCUAUAUAUAUAAUUUGUAUUCCAAUGUUGAGUCCCGUAUAUU